AGCAGCCGCCGCGGUAAUACGUAGGUGGCAAGCGUUGUCCGGAAUUAUUGGGCGUAAAGCGCGCGCAGGCGGAUCAGUCAGUCUGUCUUAAAAGUUCGGGGCUUAACCCCGUGAGGGGAUGGAAACUGCUGAUCUAGAGUAUCGGAGAGGAAAGUGGAAUUCCUAGUGUAGCGGUGAAAUGCGUAGAUAUUAGGAAGAACACCAGUGGCGAAGGCGACUUUCUGGACGAAAACUGACGCUGAGGCGCGAAAGCCAGGGGAGCGAACGGGAUUAGAUACCCGUGUAGUCCCUGUCUCUUAUACA
rnacentral:rRNA from 1 species